rnacentral:rRNA from 1 species
GUGCCAGCCGCCGCGGUAACACGGGGGGAGCAAGCGUUGUCCGGAAUUACUAGGCGUAAAGGGCAAGUAGGCGGAAUUGUAAGUCAGAUGUUAAAGGCACCGGCUCAACCGGUGUACGGCAUUUGAUACUGUGAUUCUAGAGUAAGGUGGGGGAAGAUGGAAUUCCUGGUGUAGCGGUGGAAUGCGCAGAUAUCAGGAAGAACACCAGAGGCGAAGGCGAUCUUCUAUACCAUUACUGACGCUAAAUUGCGAAGGUGUGGGUAUCAAACAGGAUUAGAUACCCUGGUAGUCCACACAGUAAACGAUAUACACUAGGUGUUGGGGGAGAUGAUCUUUCAGUGCCGUAGCUAACGCGUUAAGUGUAUCGCCUGGGGAGUACGAUCGCAAGGUUAAAACUCAAAUGAAUUGGCGG